rnacentral:rRNA from 1 species
UACGUAGGUGGCAAGCGUUGUCCGGAUUCACUGGGCGUAAAGCGCGCGCAGGCGGUCUUCUACGUCUGGGGUGAAAACCCGGGGCUCAACCCCGGGACCUGCCUUGGAUACGGGAAGACUUGAGGAUCGGAGAGGCAAGGGGAAUUCCACGUGUAGCGGUGAAAUGCGUAGAGAUGUGGAGGAACACCUGUGGCGAAGGCGCCUUGCUGGCCGAUUUCUGACGCUGAGGCGCGAAAGCGUGGGGAGCAAACAGG